rnacentral:rRNA from 1 species
AGAGUUUGAUCAUGGCUCAGGAUAAACGCUGGCGGCGUGCGUAACACAUGCAAGUUGAGCGACGACGUAUCUGAAGCAGAGAUGUGGAAGGACGAGCGGAGCAGCGGACGGGUGAGUACAACAUGAGAAGCUGUCCUGAAGCGGGGGACAACGUCUGGAAACGGACGCUAAUACCCCAUAGGCCGAGAGGUUAAAGCCGCAAGGCGCUUUAGGAGGUGCUCGUGUCCUAUCAGCUAGUUGGUGAGGUAAGGGCUCACCAAGGCGACGACGGGUAGCCGGCCUGAGAGGGUGUACGGCCACACUGGGACUGAGAUACGGCCCAGACUCCUACGGGAGGCAGCAGUGGGGAAUAUUGGGCAAUGGGAGGAAUCCUGACCCAGCGACGCCGCGUGAACGAAGACGGCCUUAGGGUUGUAAAGUUCUUUUAUGUGGGAAGAAGGAAGUGACGGUACCACAUGAAUAAGCCCCGGCUAACUACGUGCCAGCAGCCGCGGUAAUACGUAGGGGGCGAGCGUUGUCCGGAAUUACUGGGCGUAAAGGGCACGCAGGCUGUGUAUCAAGCCAUCUGUAAAAGGAUGCGGCUUAACCGUGUUAAGCAGAUGGGACUGAUGUACUGGAGUGCUGGAGAGGCAAGCGGAAUUCCCUGUGUAGCGGUGAAAUGCGUAGAUAUAGGGAAGAACAUCGGUGGCGAAGGCGGCUUGCUGGCCAGUAACUGACGCUGAGGUGCGAAAGCCAGGGUAGCAAACGGGAUUAGAUACUCCGGUAGUCCUGGCUGUAAACGAUGAAUGCUAGGUGUGCGUGCAGAGAUGUAGGCGUGCCGCAGUUAACGCGAUAAGCAUUCCGCCUGGGGAGUACGGUCGCAAGAUUGAAACUCAAAGGAAUUGACGGGGGCCCGCACAAGCGGUGGAGCACGUGGUUUAAUUCGAUGCAAACCGAAGAACCUUACCUGGGUUUGACAUGUAAGUGGUAAGAGGUGGAAACACUGAUGAACUUACCGCAAGGUGAGUAGCUUACACAGGUGCUGCAUGGCUGUCGUCAGCUCGUGUCGUGAGAUGUUGGGUUAAGUCCCGCAACGAGCGCAACCCCUGCGGUCAGUUGCUAACGGGUAAAGCUGAGGACUCUGAAGAGACUGCCGGGGACAACUCGGAGGAAGGUGGGGACGACGUCAAAUCAUCAUGCCCCUUAUGACCUGGGCUACACACGUGCUACAAUGGCCACCACAGAGAGGAGCGAACCCGUAAGGGGGAGCGGAUCUCAAAAAAGUGGUCCCAGUUCGGAUUGUGGGCUGCAACCCGCCCACAUGAAGUCGGAGUUGCUAGUAAUCGCGGAUCAGCAUGCCGCGGUGAAUACGUUCCCGGGCCUUGUACACACCGCCCGUCACACCAUGGGAGUUGGGAGUGCCCAAAGUCGGUGAGGUAACCGCAAGGAGCCAGCCGCCUAAGGCAAGACCAAUGACUGGGGUGAAGUCGUAACAAGGUAGCCGUAUCGAAA